CUUCCUACAAGUGGCUUGGCUAUGUAUGCAAAGAUGAGAUUGUGUUCAGUGACGCUGAAGCCAGUGCAAGCGAAUCUGAUGACUGCAGCACGGCAGUCACAGCAACAGAAUGUGGAACUGUGGAGCCUAUGGAUACUGACGCUACAAUCAAAGAGCAAGUUCAUGACAUGGAAGAUUUUGCAGGGUCUGUAUUGUCAGUGUCAUCUACAGUAACUGAGACUGCUCCUCCCUCUGAAGG